AUGGAGCAUACAAGAAACGGAUCUGAAGGAGUGCUUCAAUUGCCGGAUAGGGAGCAGGAGGGGAAGCAGCCGCUCAUCUGGGUCGCCGGCCGGGGACCUGGACGCGCACCGCUGUUUGUAAUCUCCGGCGCAGGCGGAGCCUUUGGAGCAUCCAGGGUCCAUCUGAAGGAGGCAGAUAGCAAAAUCUUUUCUGCAGUACUGUUGACGCGGCCGGGCUCCGUCGCCAUGGGAACGCCGCCUGGGCCCUCCUCCAUAGAACCUGUGGCAUCAGAUCAGACUACUAUGUUAGUUGGGAGAACAUGA
rnacentral:rRNA from 1 species